rnacentral:siRNA from 1 species
UCAGAUUGUGGUUUGACCUGUAUU